CUAAAAUGUUAUAAACUCGUUUCCAAACUUCGCUAAACCAGUUCCACUUAAGCCGCAGAAAUGAUUUCUGAAAAACAAAUACUUGUCUUAGUUUUCGUGCUAGUAUUUAAUUCAAAGCAUCUACUAGUACAAGGGGAUUGUACUGUGGAAGAUAAUCUAUACGCAAUCGUAAGCAAUGCUUGUGGAUUAGUAGUUGCUAGUUUUGAUCCUUCAUUUCCGUCAGACACUGUAGUGCAUACACGUGGUGAAACUGAUGGCCAGGGAUGGAAAAUCGAACGCCUAGGACACCCUGGUUUGUUUCACAUUAUCAACAACUUUACUGGGCUAGCACUGGAUAUUGAAAACUGUACCGCAGAUUUCUGCAAUGUUAAAUGUCAUGAUCUAGACGAAAAUUCAAUGUCUCAGCAAUGGUUUAUUGGUACAAAUUCGAAAAUAACGAAUGCCAUGAGAUUUCAGAAUUUAGACAUUACAUAUUCUGAUUACAAGCCUGGAGCUCCCUUAGGCGUGUGGAAAGAUGGAGACUACCCAAACCAAGAAUUUACAUUGGAGCUAAUCGAGUCAGUGGACAGAUUUAGAUCACAAAUUAAAUAUAGAAAAACUGUUGUGUGAUAUUUUUAUUCUAAUUGUUCCCAAAAUGUACACACUAAUAUAUUUUCAUUAUAGUUUAUUUGCUGCAUAAAUUA